UUCCUCCUACCGAUAAGUCAUCUUCGGAUUCUGAUUCAAUUCCUUGAAUUUCAUGCAGACUUUCAACAUUCACAUUGAAGCCUUCCUCUGUGAACUGUUCAACAGUUUGUUCGAUCUUAGCUAAGGAAGAAGUGAUAACAGCUAAGUUAUUGCUGGAUGAGAAGAACGGUAAACAAUAAAUUUUUAAACCCUCUAAAAAUUGUUGUAAUGUGACCUGCUUUACUUUUUCUAAAAAUUUAUGAUCUUCAUCUUUGUUUAGACCUUUGAUAGAUAACAAAGUAAACGAGUUUUUUGAUGAGUAAAUUGCGUUGUUUUCAAGCUCCGAUACUAUGCUAUAAGA